rnacentral:rRNA from 1 species
UACGAAGGGAGCUAGCGUUGUUCGGAAUCACUGGGCGUAAAGGGUGCGUAGGCGGGUCUUUUAAGUCAGGGGUGAAAUCCUGGAGCUCAACUCCAGAACUGCCUUUGAUACUGAAGAUCUUGAGUUCGGGAGAGGUGAGUGGAACUGCGAGUGUAGAGGUGAAAUUCGUAGAUAUUCGCAAGAACACCAGUGGCGAAGGCGGACUCACUGGCCCGAUACUGACGCUGAGGCACGAAAGCGUGGGGAGCGAACAGG